rnacentral:rRNA from 1 species
GUAGGUGGCAAGCGUUGUCCGGAAUUAUUGGGCGUAAAGCGCGCGCAGGCGGUUCUUUAAGUCUGAUGUGAAAGCCCACGGCUCAACCGUGGAGGGUCAUUGGAAACUGGAGAACUUGAGUACAGAAGAGGAAAGCGGGAUUCCACGUGUAGCGGUGAAAUGCGUAGAGAUGUGGAGGAACACCAGUGGCGAAGGCGGCUUUCUGGUCUGUAACUGUCGCUGAGGCGCGAAAGCGUGGGGAGCAAACAGGGAUUAGAUACCCUGGUAGUCCACGCCGUAAACGAUGAGUGCUAAGUGUUAGGGGGGUUUCCGCCCCCUUAGUGCUGCAGCUAACGCAUUAAGCACUCCGCCUGGGGAGUACGGCCGCAAGGCUG